UACGAAGGGGGCUAGCGUUGCUCGGAAUUACUGGGCGUAAAGGGCGCGUAGGCGGACAGUUUAGUCAGAGGUGAAAGCCCAGGGCUCAACCUUGGAAAUGCCUUUGAUACUGGCUGUCUUGAGUUCGGGAGAGGUGAGUGGAAUGCCGAGUGUAGAGGUGAAAUUCGUAGAUAUUCGGCGGAACACCAGUGGCGAAGGCGACUCACUGGCCCGAUACUGACGCUGAGGCGCGAAAGCGUGGGGAGCGAACGGG
rnacentral:rRNA from 1 species